rnacentral:rRNA from 1 species
UACGAAGGGUGCAAGCGUUACUCGGAAUUACUGGGCGUAAAGGGCGCGUAGGCGGCCCGCUAAGUCAGACGUGAAAUCCCUCGGCUCAACCGGGGAACUGCGUCUGAUACUGGCAGGCUUGGAAUCCGGGGAGAGGGAUGUGGAAUUCCAGGUGUAGCGGUGAAAUGCGUAGAUAUCUGGAGGAACACCGGUGGCGAAGGCGGCGAUCCUGGACCGGUAUUGGACG